CAAAUCACCUUCCUGAAGACAUGGGUUGGCUGCUGAAAGAUGGCAGCUAUAUCAUUAAGUGGUACGAAGGCGAAAUGUCUCCAAAAGCAGUAGAUGUCACCAGCAAUGAAAAUUAUUAUGGAUUCUCCAGAGAAGUAGAAGAUUUUGAAGGGUUUGAUGAACUGUCAAGUGAUGACGAUUCAGACAGUGAUGACGAAACUAGUGACGAAGACGUGUAAUGAUAAUUUAAGAUGCUGAUGCAGAACAAUAUCAAUCAUGCUGCUAUAACCUAUUGUACAUAUUUAUAUUUUAUUAAAUGCUAUCAGAGCAUUU